rnacentral:rRNA from 1 species
CAUGAUUAAAGGUAUUUUCCGGUAGACGAUGGGGAUGCGUUCCAUUAGAUAGUAGGCGGGGUAACGGCCCACCUAGUCAACGAUGGAUAGGGGUUCUGAGAGGAAGGUCCCCCACAUUGGAACUGAGACACGGUCCAAACUCCUACGGGAGGCAGCAGUGAGGAAUAUUGGUCAAUGGGCGAUGGCCUGAACCAGCCAAGUAGCGUGAAGGAUGACUGCCCUAUGGGUUGUAAACUUCUUUUAUAAAGGAAUAAAGUCGGGUAUGCAUACCCGUUUGCAUGUACUUUAUGAAUAAGGAUCUGGCUAACUCCGUGCCAGCAGCCGCGGUAAUACGGAGGAUCCGAGCGUUAUCCGGAUUUAUUGGGUUUAAAGGGAGCGUAGAAGGAUGUUUAAGUGAAAGUUUC